AGAGGUCUGGCUGCUGGAAUGCCCCUGAAUGGAGGCACCCUUGCAGUGCUGCACAAUGUCCUCAGCAGCUACGCAGUACCGCCUGGGCCGCUGGCCUUUUGCUUCAGCUGCGGGAUGAGUCAGUGUGAGCAGGAAGCACCCCCAGCACAGGCCUGCGGUGAGUCAGGGGAAGCAGAACCCAGAACAGCAGGGAGCGGCCACCUGGCAGGUGGCCCAAAAGCCAUAUUGUGCCUGAGGACAGCAAGGAGAGGGGCAGUUCUCCACAAGAAUUAAAGUUGCAAAAGCCUCUCUACUCUCAAUAAUUUCAGCAGUCAGAUGCUUUUUAUUUUCCCAAAGCCCACAGAUGUGUCAUGCUCCUCAGACACUCACUCAGAGGGAAAUGCUUACUGGAGAAGAGGCAAUCAUAGUGCCUUAAUCUUUUUAUAAUGGGAAAAGAGGUUAAGUGAAGCUCCUUUAGACACAGGCUUAAUAUCUAGCCUGGUUCUAGGGCCAGGAUUUUAAAGUCCUCAAACAGUCUCAUUUAUUUGAUCUGAAAAACAGAAAACUAAAAAUCAAAUGCAGUUAAUUUUUUUUUUUUUUUUGGUGGGUGGGGGAUGGAAGAAAGGAGGAGGAGAGAAAAAUCAAACUGAGUUAUAUGGAGAUCACAGAACACACUGGAGUCAGUAAACAGAAUGGACCCACAAAUCUCCAUCAGUGGAAUCUUGAACAAAGGGACUGAGGAAGAGUCCAAAGAAUGAACAAGGAGCUUCUAAGCCUCAGUUACAGAGAGACACCAGGGGAGUGAGACGUGGUUUUAAGAAAUAAGAGGUGGCAAAUUUAGCCAAAAGCAAGACCCUCUCCCUCCACAGAGGCACGCUUCAAGAGAUAACCUGGUGUUUGGAGACUGUCCUCAGGACAACCUUGCAGGCAUGAGCUGAAGAUGGCAGGAACAAGGAGGGAAGGAGCCUGGGUCACUGUGUCACCCCCAAAAAGAGAGUCACCUCCAUCCAGGAAAACUUGGAUUGAAUGGAGACAAAGUGGUUCCAGUCUCAACUCCUGGUCUCAAGCAGAAGCCCAACUAAUUUUUAAAAUUUUUUAUAGAGAUGGGGUCUCUCUCUGUCGCCCAUGCUGGCCUCAAACUCUCGGCCUCCCAAAGCACUAGAAUUAUAGGUGUGAGCCACUGCACCCAGGCCAUAAAAUUUCAAGAUGUAGCCAGUUCCAACUCGCUUCUCCCAAGUUCUCACAAUUGAAACUUAGUCUUUUCCAUAAUACCAUUGAUGAGAUCUUCAGUCCCCUGCCCCUGCCUGCCUGCACUGACCAAACGCAAAAGGAUAGGGAGCCUGCAGAGAAGGGAGAUCCCUAUGUCCUGUGUAGUCAAGGGCAGGCUUCCUUAUGGCAGAAGCAAACUUUAAACCAGGAAAAUGAGCCUCACCCAGGGAUGCCCUCUACUGCCGUACACCCCACCACUCAGCCUUGGAGUGCCUGUGUGCAGAGCAGGGCUGAGGCAUGGUGCUGCUUUGGUGGUCUAGGUUUGCUGCAGGGCCAGGUGGCCUGAGCUCCAGGCAGGAUCUCUGGCUGCACUCAGCCCCUUCUGCCUCCCCAAAUGCUCUAUAUCACUAUUUGUACACUGAGCAGAGUAAAGUUAGAGAGAACUGUUUUAUAGAAUAGGGCUGGCCUCCCCCUCCCCUGGCCUACGUGAUGGUCCUUCCUGGCUGCCAGGUACUUGUUUGUAUUAGAGACAGACACUCCACGGGGUCUGUUGUGGCCCACAGCACAUAGGCAAUCAGAGGCAGAAAGCAGAGCUGUUUGGACCCACAGAGGGCCGGCUGUCUGCCACUGAAAUGUCUUUCCAGUUGGUUGAGAAGCAGCAGGAUACUCUGCUGGUGAUGUCUGAAAGUCCCAGGAUUCUUUGGGUCUCCAAGGAGAUCCUAGCAUAUACCACUGUCGUGGUUUUAAUAAAGAGCAAAAACACUUUCAGAUAGGGAGAAGAGUGGAACAAAAGGUAUUCUUCCUGGGUUGAAGUCUGGGGGAAAGGCAUUGAGAAGACUGGGCUAAUGGCACAAACCAAUGAAGUACUCAAGUCACCUGUGAUGGAGGCCAGUCAUCCAAUGGUACCAACUUUGUAUGUGGCAACACUUAAUAAAAAUCUGAACAGGUCUUCACUUGUGGACACAGUAGACUUUCUUGAAAAAGGACAGAAAAGUGAGCCCUGUGAAUUUUCAUCUCACGGACUGACAACAAUGACUUGCCUUUAAGGACAGACAUGGUCACUCAAGAUGAAGAUGCAACAAAAUCCUUCCAGUUCCAAGUGGCUGAUGAAAAAAAAAAUCUUAAAAGCAUCACAGAACAACGGAGAAAGAGGUCAGAAGACUAUAACAGAUAGUUUGAAUUUUAAAACUCAGAGAAAAGCAACUGAGGAGGAAAUACACUGCUUAGAAAGAAGAAACUUCUCCAAGUAUAUAGAAACAUGAACUAUACGUAUCAGAUGCACAGCAUCUACAAAAAGAUGGCUGAAGACAUGGAAAAAAGAAUUAGAGAGCCAUUUUCUUCUAUCAAAGUGAUCUUCUAUAAGAAGAGAGCUCAGGAAAGUUGGAUGGCUGCUCUGUCAACUGAGAGAAAGCUUAAUGAACUAAGAAAAGAAAAUGGUAACAAAUACUAGAUAACAGAGCUCAUGUUCCAGCCUUUCCCAAGGCCCUUGUGUUCCUGCUGUUCCACAUGCAGCCCACAGAGGCCUAAAAGCAUCAGAGGACCCCCUGGAUCAUCAGGCCCCCAAGAAGGAGGAGGGUCAAGCUAUAAGGGUUCAGGGAUCUAGGGUCACAGGCAGGUUGACUCGGAUUUCAAGCAGCCAACCCUGAACAUCCACAACCACAGCAAGACAUUUGACUGUUUUCUCUUUUUAAAAGUACUUUUGAUUGCUCUCUUUUUAGUUUAACUGCUGUUAUUUAAUCGAUGCUAUGUUAUUUAUGUUUGACAGCAUUAAAACACCUAAGA